AACGCACCUUGCGCCUCUUGGUAUUCCGAGAGGCAUGCCUGUUUGAGUGUCUUAUAAAAUCAAUCCCCACGGGUUUCUUGACCCGGCGGUGGACUUGGAGUUGGGCGUUUGCCGGUCACACGGCUCGCCUUAAAGACCUUAGUGGGAUCGAUGGCCUAUGGCUUGACGUAAUAAGUUCUCGCAACCCUCCACUCUAACACACUUUAUAUUCUGACCUCCAAUCAGGUAGGACUACCCGCUGAACUUAA
rnacentral:misc_RNA from 1 species